rnacentral:lncRNA from 1 species
GUCAGGACAAAGUAUUAAAGACAUGAAUCUUAGGGACACAUCAGCACAUACCAGAUGAAGAUGUCCCACAUGAUGUGACCACUGACACCCAGGGCUUGGGGAGAAAGACGGUGGUUUAUGCAAAUGGAGUUUACUACAUGGCUCUCAAGUGUUUAUGAAUUCAUGAAUGGAUAACUUCUCACUGGGCUUUGAAAAAACCAGCAAACAAUGCCAGCACUGCAGAAAGAGCUCUUGCCAACUACAUCAUCAGCUGACAGUGAGGAAAAUGUCCAUGUGA